rnacentral:lncRNA from 12 species
AUGGCUGUAGGUCUCCAAAGGUGGCUUCUAAUUCUGCAACCCCAAGAAACAGCAGCCUCUUCAGGUCUGUCGCUGCUCUGUAUCAAUGAUUUGGAUGACAAUCAAGAAAGCAUUUCAUCAAGCGUAUGGAUGUUUGAAAGAUGGAAUUCACAGACAAGUGGUCCCUUCUGGAUUUCUACAGGGACCUCCAAGCCUGCUCCUCCUCCACCUCAAACAUCAGCAAAGCCCACCAGGAGAAUUGCCAAAAGAGACAAUCGUCAGUUCCUCAGUGAGAAUGUUUCCCUGCUUCUGCCUUGGAUAACUCCAGAAUUUUCGAGACAAAGGUUUAUUCCAUCAUCCAAGACAUAUUUUAUGCCACGCAGUUUCACUUUGUAGGACUAACUUUUCAAGUCAAGGAAUUGCAAAGCCUCAAUAUGUAGCAGCUUGGAUUAUGGUCCAAAAAGGGAGCCAGUAGAGCUCCAAAAUUACUAUUUCUUCCUUUUCUUUGUCUUUUCUUUUGGGGUGGGCAUCGGGAUGCUGUGACCCAACUGGGAAUACUGUCUCUGGCACAUGCCUGUGGUCCACUCAAUAUUAAUGAUGCAAUCAAGUCUUCAGGUGAAUUUUGGAGCUAAAGCAAAAGACAAAAAGAAAAUUUCGUAAACCACCCUCAGAAUCUGUUAGCUGAAGCUCCACACACUUUAGGCCUUAACCAGCUAGUCCCUUAGAUCGCUGGCGACCCCAAGUGGCCAAUUUAUAACAGUUUUUUGGAUUUUGUUGGGUUUUGGUAUUUUUCCCCCUGUGGAAAAGAAACAUACUUCAAGGUUUUUUAUUCCCAAAUCCUUGUAGAAUUUAAAAACUGCAGAGCUGGAAGGACAAUUAGUGUUACCUGGCCUAACCAUCUCAUUUUACAGAAAGCACAGAUCCAGAGAGGUAAAGAGAGAUUCCAAAAGUCACACAGCAUGUUAGGGUCAAGGAAGGAAGCAUUUAAAAGUGAUGACUUUAAGAGAGUCUAUGCAACCAGAUUUUAGCUCCUUAAUGGAAAAAGAGAAUUUUUCCCCAAGCCAUAGAAGAAAUAUUGUUAUUACAGAAGAAUCACCGUAAUGAGGCUGCAUUGUUAACAGAUCUGAAGUUUCCUUAGGCACACACUUCUUUUUUCUUCUUCUAUUCCUAGACUGACCAGGGUGUAUUAAAUUAAAUCACACAGCAAGUGUGAGGCCAGCAUGGGGGAGAGGAGAGAUGUCAGCAUUUGGCAGAUGUGGGUUAGAUGCUUAUUCCCAAAGCCUGGGCCAUGAGUUUGGUUCCCACCUACAUGAGCACUGUAGAGGAGGCAUUAUCAUUCUCAUUUCAGAAAUGAGAAAACCAAAGCUCAGGGAAAUUAAUUGCCCAAGAUCCGUCAGCUACAAAAUUGCAAAAGCAACUUUCUCCAUCACUUUAAUCUAUGUGUGCCUCCGUCCACCAAAUGGGAUGAUAAAAUUUGCCUAUAGAAUCAGAAAAUGCUGAUAUUAGAGACUCCAUAGAAGAGCCUGCUUUUGAACAAAAUGAACCCUCUCUAGAGAAAACUAACAAAAAUAUCUAUGAGAAAGUCAAUCAAAGAGAACAUGGGUGCUUUUGUAAAGAACACCAGGAAAUCCCAUUCUCCUUAAAACAAAAAACUAGGAUCUUCAAGGUUUUGCUCCAGGUCAAAUUUCUGUUCUUCCCCACCACGUGACGCCUUUCCCUUGAGGUGCCUCACUUAGUCUCCUCCUGUCAUCAGGCAGCUGAACCCCUGGCAGGACACUGCCCUUUUGGCAGCUCUGUCCCAGCCAUGGACAGAAUUCCCUUUGCUAUCAGCUCUGAGCACCAUGGAGAUGAUCUGGAAUUUCCCCAGUGCUGUUCCUAAAAUUACUGCGAAGGAAUAGAAGAUAAAGUAACACAGAGAGUGGGAGAAGCCUAAAAUCAGUAUGAUUUGCAGAACAUGAAAUUCGGACCCAAAUCUUACAGACGGGGUUCUCUCUAGAGUUAGCAAAUCCUGCUCUGUUCCAGUCAGGAUCUCAGUUUUAAAACACUCAGUGUAAAUUAUUCUAGCCCUCCACAAAAGCAAUGUGGCAACAUGCUGCAAGGCCUGGGAAAGAUUCCUACUCUUUGGUCCAGGAAUUCCUCUUCUAGCAAUCCACCUGAAUGAAAUAAUGAAACUGUGCAGGAAGGAAUAUAUACACAAAGAUGAUCAUCACUAACUUAUGUUCAAUUACCAAAAAAAAAAAAGGAAGCAAAUUAUACAAUAGGAUUUAUGAUGUAACCAGAAGAUGGAAAAUUAUGUAACCAUUAAAAAAUGAUGUUUUCAAAGCAUUUUUAAUGACACUAAAUGUAAAAAGCAUUUGAAAUAGCAUUAAGUGAAAAAAAAGCAGAAUGCAAAAGAAGUGCACGUUUUAUGAUCAAAUACUUAAAACCAAAAAAAGAGAAAUGUGAGUGUAUAAAGACAAAAAAGAAGAAAUCUUCACCCAUCAGGAUGUUCACAGUAGUUAUGACUAAGUGGUGAGAUUAAUGUGAUUUCUUUACUACUUACAUUUUGCUUUAGUUUUACAGUGAGGCCGUAUUAAUGUAUAAUCUGAAAAUUAUAUAUAUAUAUAUAUAUAUAUAUAUAUAUAUAUAUAUAUAUAUAUAUAUAUUUAAGAUAUUGACUCUGUAGCCCAAAAAAGCUGAUGGAUUUUCUCAGGUCACACCCUCCUGACUUCCACUCUGUACCCACCUUGUUCCUCCAUCUUGGUGCCUUCUCUUCCACCUGCCUCACUUCUGCCCUCCUUUUAUUUUUAAUUCUUUAUUGAAAUUCAAUUUAGUUAACAUAUUUUUUUUUAUUAGUUACAGGAGUAGAAUUUAGUGAUUCAUCAGUUGCAUAUAACACCCAGUGCUCACUACAUCAAGUGACAACAUGCUUCAAGGUCUGGGAAAGAUUCCUACUCUUUGGCCCAAGAAUUCCUUUUGCUAUCAGCUCUGAGCACCAUGGAGACAGUAGUCUCCUUAAUCCUUAAUGCCCAUCACUCAAUUACCCCAUCCCCCACCGACCUCACUUCCAGCAACGUUCAGUUUGUUUCCUAGAGUUGAGUGUUUCUUAUGGUUUGUCUUCCUCUCUAUUUUCAUCUUAUUUUAUUUUUCCAUUUCUUCCCCUGUAUUCAUGUUUUGUUUCUUAAGUUCCACAUAUGCAUGAAAUCAUAUUGUAUUUGUCUUCCUCUAACUUAUUUCACUUAGCAUAAUACCUUUUAGUUCCAUCCAUGUCAUUGCAAAUGGCAAGAUUUCACUCUUUUUGAUGGCUGAGUGAUAUUCCAUUGUAUACAUCAUACACAAAAGUAAACUCAAAGUGGAUGAAAGACCUAAAUGUGAGACAGGAAUUCAUCAAAAUCCUAGAGGAGAAGAUAGGCAGCAACCUCUUUGACCUUGGCUGUAGCAACUUCUUGCUAGGCAAGUCUCCAAAGGCAAGAGAAACCUCUGCCCUCCUUUCUGCUUAUACAUCCAAGAUCCACAUUCAUGACCUAGCCAAUGAUUAACUCAUCAAGAGGUCCCUCAGAGUCACAUUUGUCAAGGUGCUAGUGAUCCUUUUCAAUUCCUUCCUAUUAAAUAGGGCAGUGAAACCCAUAUUCCCUGCUCAUCUUAGAGUGCUUUAUUUCCUUCCUCCUAGUUGAAAGGCAGGAUCUAUGUAAAUUUGGAAUUUAUUCAACUGAUAUUUAUUGAGCGUCUACUUACUGUUCUAGUAAGAUACAAGAGAUAAGGUCUUACUCUCAAGGGGCUAGACAGAUAAUAAAUAAUCCUACAUAUGAGAAGACUGUCA